rnacentral:snoRNA from 3 species
CUUCCCAUUUAUUUGCUGCUAUAGUCUUUACAAUGAUAUGAGCAGUUAUAUGCACAGGAUAAAAUAACAUUGGACCACUGUCAAUUGAGAUGGAGUAACUAUUUCAUCUCUUCUGCAUGCAUAGUUUAGACAAAU